ACGGGAGGCAGCAGUGGGGAAUAUUGGGCAAUGGGCGAAAGCCUGACCCAGCAACGCCGCGUGAAGGAAGAAGGUCUUCGGAUUGUAAACUUCUUUUAUGAGGGACGAAGGACGUGACGGUACCUCAUGAAUAAGCCACGGCUAACUACGUGCCAGCAGCCGCGGUAAUACGUAGGUGGCAAGCGUUAUCCGGAUUUACUGGGUGUAAAGGGCGUGUAGGCGGGACUGCAAGUCAGAUGUGAAAACCACGGGCUCAACCUGUGGCCUGCAUUUGAAACUGUAGUUCUUGAGUACUGGAGAGGCAGAUGGAAUUCCUAGUGUAGCGGUGAAAUGCGUAGAUAUUAGGAGGAACACCAGUGGCGAAGGCGAUCUGCUGGACAGCAACUGACGCUGAGGCGCGAAAGCGUGGGGAGCAAACAGGAUUAGAUACCCUGGUA
rnacentral:rRNA from 1 species